GGUCCUACAGGAAGACCUGGGCUACCGGGAGACAAAGGAGCCAUGGGGAUCCGUGGACAACCGGGAGUCAAGGGUCAACUUGGAGAGAAGGGAGCUCCAGGAGAGGCUGGCAUGUCCAUCAUUGGUCCCCGCGGACCCCCAGGUCAGCCUGGAACAAGAGGUUUUCCUGGGUUCCCAGGUCCAAUUGGUUUGGAUGGCAAACCAG